UAGCCUUCUGUAACUAAUAAUGUCCUUCCU
rnacentral:piRNA from 1 species